UACCAGCACCCCGAGUGGUCGGGACGUUUAUUGGGCCUAAAGCAUCCGUAGCCGGUUCUACAAGUCUUCCGUUAAAUCCACCUGCUCAACAGAUGGGCUGCGGAAGAUACUAUGGAGCUAGGAGGCGGGAGAGGCAAGCGGUACUCGAUGGGUAGGGGUAAAAUCCGUUGAUCCAUUGAAGACCACCAGUGGCGAAGGCGGCUUGCCAGAACGCGCUCGACGGUGAGGGAUGAAAGCUGGGGGAGCGAACAGG
rnacentral:rRNA from 1 species